rnacentral:rRNA from 1 species
UACGUAGGCAGCAAGCGUUGUUCGGAAUUACUGGGCGUAAAGAGUGUGUAGGCGGUGCUCUAAGUUUGGUGUGAAAUCUCCCGGCUCAACUGGGGAGGGUGCGCCGAAAACUGGAAUGCUUGAACAUGGGAGAGGAAAGCGGAAUUCCUGGUGUAGCGGUGAAAUGCGUAGAUAUCAGGAAGAACACCCGUGGCUAAGGCGGCUCUCUAGUACGGUACUGACGCUGAGACGCGAAAGCGUGGGGAGCGAACAGG